rnacentral:lncRNA from 1 species
AAACAAGCUAAGUCACAUGCAUCUAUUUCCACACUCGUGUCUUCUUUUACUAGAAUCCUUUCUUCUUUCCAUUGUUAAUGCCAUGACUCCUUCACAAAAAAGUCUUCCUUAGGCAAUUUCAUCCUUUCUUAUUUCCAUUGUUGAUGUCAUUUCUCCUUGAUGAACAAGGUUCCCAAGGAAGUAAAAUAAAAAAGAUGGGUUGGUAUGUUUUUCCAACGAGAAGUCAAGAUGUUGUUCUUUGUUUUCUACUUCCUGUCUCUUCCUCUUUUCCUCUCCCUCUUUUCUUCUUCCUCCUUUUCUCCAUUUUCUUUUUCCUAUUUUUAUCUCUUUUAUUUUAUCCUCUCUCCCCCUCUCUCUUUUCUUGUUACUCCUUUUUCUUUCUCCUCUCUCUUUUCUUGUUCUUCUUUUUCUCUCUUUUAUUUUAUAAACAUUUGAAGUUUUUACAAUGUUCUUUCUUC